CCAAACAGAGGUUAUCUGAUUGGUGGAUAAAAUCAAGGCAGGGGUGAAAUUUCACCCACCACAAAGUACAAAAUAUGUUAAUAGUCAUGGCUAGGUGGCGUAUGCCACCGCCCGGUUUAAAGGGUUCAGCCUCAUCCAUCCAUCCAUUCAUCCAUCCUGGGCUGUCAUGGCCGAGUUGCCGUAAAGAUCAUCCAGGGCAACGCCUCCUGGCGUUGUCCAGGGAGAUGGUUCUUUAUUCUAUGGGCUGGUCCUCCUUCGAGGCUCGAGAGGCCAAGAGUAAAAUUGCGUUUGAGUGCCGUCUGCGCAACAUGGACGACGGUAGGUGGGCGCGCAGGGUGUUUCGGUACGUCUACCUUAAAGGCAUCCAGACAUAAUGGAGGGCGCGUGUCCAGUUCCUGAGGCGAAAAUAUGGCCUCUUGAACUAUUCAGAAACCGGAGGAGCCAGGUGUGAGACGGCUAAAGGAGUUCAGGGCCAUGUGCGUGAGACAGAGCGAGAACUGUGGAAAUCGGCUAUGGCCUCGAAGACGACGCUCCGCCUGUACUCCGACAACAAGGGGACCAUCACAACAGAGCCGAUCUACGACAACCAUUUUCUUCCUCCAUGACGACAACAGUGGUGGCAGCGCCCUCCUAUUCGAGGCACUUGCAACAAAACAUUGGAACUUCCGCAUCAACUCUUCAUGACGCAUUACAAGCUUCGAAAGCCACAAGGUGUGUAAAGCCACAAGCCACAACGUAAUUAUAAAUUUGGAGACUAAGACCUAUGCCAAGAUUUAACGUCCUACUAAUGUCCCAACGACAUCCAAAAAGGCGUCCCAGCUGGGCAAUCCAUAGGACAUCUUUUGGUGUUUCACUAGGGAGUUUUUCAGGAUCAUUCUGGUACAACCUUAGGAUGUCCCCAGCAUCCAAAAAGAGAUAUCUGUAAGACAUCCAGAGGGUGCCCGUGUCUCGUCUACGGCAUGAAUAUUUACCCGUAUUCACAAAACUUUUCUAAAGUGCUGUCUUUGAGCUCCACGCAAAGGGCAAGUGUCUAGUUAUUUCACUGCUUAUUAUCACGAUUAGCAGAUGCCAAAGCGCUACUGAAUGAAAGAACGCUCAAUGAAAUGUUGAGCACAAACAGGCCCUGGUCUUCCAGUAACAUCAUUAACUUGUUCAACUUUUGAGUGAAGCAUUUGUACAAGCAGAACAAAUUUCAGAAACUGCUAAACUUGAAAUAUAGAUUUCAAGUGACAUUAUAGAUUGACACUACAGAGUAACAGUGACAGUACAGAGUGACAGUAUAAUAUAGAUUUCAAGCUGCUGAUCCUGAAAUAAAUGGAUUGUUACCCUU